CGGACGGGUGAGUAACACGUAGCUAACCUACCCCUUGGACCGGGACAACGGUGCGAAAGCGCCGCUAAUACCGGAUACGCCGGCCGAUCUAUCCGAUUGGUCGUGAAAGCGGGCUUUGUUCCGCACCGAGGGAGGGGGCUGCGGCCUAUUAGCUUGUUGGUAGGGUAACGGCCUACCAAGGCUUCGAUGGGUAGCUGAUCUGAGAGGAUGAUCAGUCACACUGGGACUGAGACACGGCCCAG
rnacentral:rRNA from 1 species